GAUGAACGCUAGCGAUAGGCUUAACACAUGCAAGUCGAGGGACCGGCGCACGGGUGCUUAACGCGUAUGCAACUUGCCUCACAGAGGUGGAUAACCCGUCGAAAGACGGACUAAUACCUCGUACUGUGAGAUAGGCAUGCGUCCCAUUAGCUAGUUGGUGAGGUAACGGCUCACCAAGGCGACGAUGGGUAGGGGAACUGAGAGGUUGAACCCCGACACUGGUACUGGGACACGGACCAGACUCGGACGGGAGGCAGCAGUGAGUAAUAAAGGGCAAUGGGCGAGAGCCUGAACCAGCCAAGUCGGGGGAAGGAGGACUGGCUAGGGAUUGAAAACUACUUGGAUACGGGAAUAGGUACCGAAUGAAUAAGCAUCGGCUAACUCCGUGCCAGCAGCCGCGGUAAUAC
rnacentral:rRNA from 1 species